rnacentral:rRNA from 1 species
AUACGGAGGAUGCGAGCGUUAUCCGGAUUUAUUGGGUUUAAAGGGAGCGUAGGUGGGAUAUUAAGUCAGCUGUGAAAGUUUGGGGCUCAACCUUAAAAUUGCAGUUGAUACUGGUUUCCUUGAGUACGGUACAGGUGGGCGGAAUUCGUGGUGUAGCGGUGAAAUGCUUAGAUAUCACGAAGAACUCCGAUCGCGAAGGCAGCUCACCGGGCCGGAACUGACACUGAUGCUCGAAAGUGCGGGGAUCAAACAGGAUUAGAUGCCCUGGUAGUCCGCACAGUAAACGAUGAAUACUCGCUGUUUGCGAUACACUGUAAGCGGCCAAGCGAAAGCGUUAAGUAUUCCACCUGGGGAGUACGCCGGCAACGGUGAAACUCAAAUGAAUUGGCGGGG